rnacentral:lncRNA from 1 species
UCCCUUUCGCUUUAUGGCAUGCUCGUUUGGGUUGGGCAUCGACUAAGAGUGCUCGGAGCGUGGAUUAACUCCAGUCUCCAAUCAGGUGUGUAUUUAUCACUACUCUUGUUGUUGGAUGGCUACUUCGGGCCGCGAUGGGCCGAAAGGGGCCAUGUGGGCCCAAUGGGCCUACGGGCCCAAUUGGAUAAGUUGUUUGAUUGUGUAGUAAAUAUUAGACUAGGCUAGGUGAAUCUCAUAUCUGCGGCCAGAUUUGGGCUAAAAGGGCCACACGAGCGUGUGGGCCCAUUUGGGCCGAGAAUGGGCUUUAGGGCCAUUCGUAUUGUUAUCCCUGUUUAGAAUACUAUAGUUUACCAAAUUACUAAAAUACCCCCAGUUGUAAAAUUACCAAAGUACCCCUGGUUUAUAAAAUUACUGAAAUACCAUCGAUUGUAAAAUUACUGAAAUGCCCUCGAUUUGUAGAAUUACCAUUUUAGCCUCGAUUUAUAGAAUUACCGUUUUACCCUCGAUUUGUAAAAUUACCGUUUUACCCUCGAUUUACAGAAUUACCGUUUUACCCUCAACUUACAGAAUUACCGUUUUACCCUCGAUUUACAGAAUUACCGUUUUACCCUCGAUUUACAGAAUUACUAUUUUACCCUCGAUUUAAAGAAUUACCAUUUUACCCUCAGUUUAUAGAAUUACUAUUUUACCCUCGAUUUACAGAAUUACUGUUUUACCCUCAGUUUAUAGAAUUACUGUUUUACCCUCGAUUUAUAGAAUUACCAUUUUACCCUCGAUUUGUAAAAUUAUCGUUUUACCCUCGAUUUAUAGAAUUACCGUUAUACCCUCAGUUUACAAAAUUACUAUUUUACCCUCGAUUUAUAGAAUUACCGUUUUACCCUCAGUUUACAGAAUUACUGUUUUACCCUCAAUUUACAGAAUUACUGUUUUACCCUCGUUUUGUAAAAGUAUCGUUUUACCCUUUAUUUACAAAAUUACUGGUUUACCCUCAGUUUACAAAAUUAUCAUUUUACCCUUGAUUUACAAAAUUACCGUUUUACCCUUGAUUGUGAAAUUACUAAAAUACCCCUGUAGGGUAGAAUUUCUGAAAUACCCCUAUAGGGUAGAAUUACUAAAAUACCCUUAUAGGAUAGAAUUACCAAAAUACCCCUGUAGGGUAGAAUUAUCGAAAAACCCUUGUAGGGUAGAAAUACCGAAAUACCUCUGUAAGGUAGAAUUACCGAGAUACCUUGUGGGGUAAAAUUACCAUUUUGCCCCUAGGGUGUUAAAUGACUGUUUUGCCCUUGUGGGCAAGUGAUCGACUGGGACUGUGUGUUUGACGGAUUUGAUUGUGAAUAUAUGUUGGUGAUAUGAAUGACUUGGCUGUGAUUGUUUGAUUCAAAUAUGGGCAUGACAUUCUGCAUACAUGACAUGUUGCAUGGGUUGGGAUUUUGUACGGAGGAAGCGUUCUGGUGGCUAUGCCACAAAUAUCUGUUUUGGUGGCUCUGCCACAAUAUCUAUAUUUGGUGACUCUGUCACAAUAUCUGUUGACCGAUCGAUGGCUAAGUGCCGAUCACGCUACCGAAGGCUGUGUGCCAUUGUUGUGGGCUUCGUGCCGAUUAUAGACCCGUUAUUAAUGGCUCUGUGCCAACCUAAACAUGGCUUUGUGCCAUCUUGACUAUGGCUUCGUGCCAAACGUAUUUACCUGUAGCUAUGUGCCUAACAUAUUUGUUGACGACUCUGUGUCGAUCAUAUUUACCGAAGGCUGUGCGCCAGUUAUAUUACCGUCACUGAUAGCUAUGGGCCGAAGUUAUUACAGUUAUCUAUGGCUUUUUGCCACGUAUUCUGUUAGGUGGGUUUGCCACAUUAUCUGAUUCUGGUGGCUCUGCCACAAUAUCUGUAUCUGGUGACUCUGUCACGAUAUCUGUUCUGGCAGCCAUACGGCAAAUUCUGUGGUGUGUAGCGGAUGGGUGGGUCGAGUUGUCUCCCCACAUGGUGUAAGGUUGGUACAGGGGUGUAUACGGCUGGAUUGGGUUGGGAUUGCAUUCACAUUCUGAUUCUGAUUCUGUCACGUAAUUUUAAUUCUGAUUCUGAUUCUUUACUGAUUCUGAUUCUGAUUCUGAUUCUCAUUUUGGUUCCAAUUCUGAUAAUGUUUCUUAUUCUGUAAUGGGCUAAGGUCCAUCUGGUACUGAACUUGUAAGUAAGGCUGGGGCCAGACUUUUAAUUCUUUUAGAUGACUGACUGUUCCUUUUUAUAUAGGGGAUUUCACACUGAGUUUUUGUAAACUCACUCCGUUUAUUAACCUUUCAGGUAAUUUCCAGCCUUAGAUGGAUCGGGGCUGCGAGGGGCUCGGAGGAAGCCACACACACUGUUUAUGUUAUAGUUUCGAUUAUUACCUUUAAAUUAUUUUAUGUGGGUUGUAGUAAAGCCGUU